ACUCCUACGGGAGGCAGCAGUGGGGAAUAUUGGACAAUGGGGGAACCGUAGCAUCAGCCAUGCCGCGUGUGUGAAGAAGGCCUUCGGGUUGUAAAGCACUUUCAGUGGGGAGGAAAGGUUGAUGGUUAAUACCUAUCAGCUGUGACGUUACCCACAGAAGAAGCACCGGCUAACUCCGUGCCAGCAGCCGCGGUAAUACGGAGGGUGCAAGCGUUAAUCGGAAUUACUGGGCGUAAAGCGUGCGCAGGCGGUCUGUUAAGCGAGAUGUGAAAGCCCGGC
rnacentral:rRNA from 1 species